rnacentral:rRNA from 1 species
AGAGUUUGAUCAUGGCUCAGAACGUACGCUGGCGGCACGCCUUAUACAUGCAAGUCGAACGAAGUAGCAAUACUUAGUGGCAGACGGGUGAGUAACAUGUGGGUAUCUUCCCUUUGGUGAGGAAUAACACGAGGAAACUUGUGCUAAUACCUCAUAAGUCUUUACGGAGAAAGCUUUAUGCGCCGAUGGAUGAGCCCGCACUUGAUUAGUUUGUUGGUGGGGUAAUGGCCUACCAAGACUUUGAUCAAUAGCUGAUCUGAGAGGAUGAUCAGCCACAUUGGGACUGAGAUACGGCCCAAACUCCUACGGGAGGCAGCAGUAGGGAAUAUUGCACAAUGGAGGAAACUCUGAUGCAGCGAUGCCGCGUGAGUGAAGAAGGCCUUUGGGUUGUAAAGCUCUUUCGUCGGGGAAGAAAAU